rnacentral:rRNA from 1 species
UACGAGGGGGGCAAGCGUUGUUCGGAAUUAUUGGGCGUAAAGGGUGCGUAGGCGGUUUUGUAAGUCUUGUGUGAAAUCUUCAGGCUCAACUUGAAGACUGCACGAGAAACUGCAGGGCUUGAGUGUGGGAGAGGUGAGUGGAAUUCCUGGUGUAGCGGUGAAAUGCGUAGAUAUCGUAAGGAAGACCAGUGGCGAAGGCGGGUCUCUGGACAGUUCCUGACGCUGAGGCACGAAGGUCAGGGGAGCAAACGGG